rnacentral:rRNA from 1 species
UACGUAGGGGGCAAGCGUUGUCCGGAAUCAUUGGGCGUAAAGCGCGCGUAGGCGGCCCGGUAAGUCCGCUGUAAAAGUCCAGGGCUCAACCCUGGAAAGCCGGUGGAUACUGUCGGGCUAGAGUCCGGAAGAGGCGAGUGGAAUUCCUGGUGUAGCGGUGAAAUGCGUAGAUAUCAGGAGGAACACCGGCGGUGUAAACGGCUUUCUGGACCAUAACUGACGCUGAUGCACGAAAGCGUGGGUAGCAAACAGG